UGUGACUGUCCUCCUUCGAGAACCAG
rnacentral:piRNA from 1 species